rnacentral:rRNA from 1 species
UACGAAGGGUGCAAACGUUGCUCGGAAUUAUUGGGCGUAAAGCGCACGUAGGCGGCUUUGCAAGUCGGAUGUGAAAUCCCUCGGCUUAACCAAGGAAGUGCAUCCGAAACUGCAGAGCUUGAGUACUUAAGAGGAUCGCGGAAUUCCCGGUGUAGAGGUGAAAUUCGUAGAUAUCGGGAGGAACACCAGUGGCGAAGGCGGUGAUCUGGGAAGAUACUGACGCUGAGGUGCGAAAGCGUGGGGAGCAAACAGG